AGUUGAAAAAGCCACAGCCGCCGUGAGGCGGUGUCGGAAAGCCACGGAUCUCCCAGAAAGAGACCGCCGGGUUACCAAC
rnacentral:ncRNA from 1 species